UUCAGAUUUCAAAUAUUAGGGUUCUUGUUUCCUAUUUAGAUUUAUUUUGAAUGUAUGAGUUGGUAUUCGAGACUAACAAAGAUAAAAUCCCAUCUAUCAAUCAUAAAUUUUUGCAAGUGGUAUCGUAAAUUUCUGCAUAAGUGCAUAAGUUGUUACAAAGCUCCAUGUUUCACUGCAUUGUUACUUGAUGGUUUACUUGGGUUUGCUCAAGGAAAUAAAGCUUUGCACAACUGUCAUGUUUUUUUCUGGUAGAUAAAAGACCAAUUUUCAUGUCCAUCUUAUUUCAUAUUCAACUCCAUUUCCAUUUUGCGUUUGUGGUUUAUAUAAAACCGGGACAUAUAGAGAUGAAAUGGGCUACAAGGAGGGCCACUAAGUCUAUUGACCUUAUGAUAUGCUGCCUUUUGAAAUCUGCAACUGCCGAACCAAUAUGGGCAUGCAAUUUUGUUUUUCUUACCCUGCAUAAUGUUGAUACAAGAUUGAUAAAACCUUUGAUACAAGUUUAAUGUCGACUGUCAUUAAACAAAAGUGUUCAAAAUAAUAUCCUAAAAAAACUACAUAUAAUAGAAUCACAAUGUGAAACUCAAUUGUAGUCGGCCCAUUUUGUGAUGCUACUACUCGGGAAUACUUAUUGAAGGUUCCUUGGAGCUGAAAAACUUCUCAAUCGUAAUGUGAAAGUCAAAAACUAUAGUGUGAACCUAAACGUGUUCUCUAUAUGGAUAUGAUCUUGAUCACUUUGUCUAUUUUAUCUGUACCCUUGCUUCUUGAUGUAGCUAUUGUUUGGCUUACUCAUUUACUGAUGAUACAUAUUUUGCUGGAAAGGAAUGAUCUUAAGGAGCAAAGAAGUUAUCUUUGAAGGAACAUAGUAUAAAGUAUAAACUUUUACUUUCGUAUCCAAAAUGAUUACCCUUUUUAAGCAUACAAAGGUCCAUUCGAGUGAGGUCAUUUAUCUGGGUGCAAGUCUUGAGUAGCUGUUGACUUGGUUAUUGAUCAUUUGAUUUCUAUGGAGCAAUUUUUGCUAAUUUGUGCAGGAUCCAUGGCGGAAUCCAACAGUACAAGAGGAGGCAACAACAAUAAAUCAUUUAAUUGGUCUAAACUAAAAUAAAUAUAUGUGUUAUAAGGUUCAUUACAAAGAUUAGAAUCUCUUUUUAGUGUCUAAAUUGGUAUGUAUGCGUAUAGUUCGAGGACUAUACUAUUGAUCUAGAGGCUCUCCUUUAGUUUCCCUAAAGGCCAUGUUUUUUGAAGGUCUUAGUUCAGGUCACAAGACUUUUGGGUGGUAAUGUUUCAUUGGAUACUAUUAUACUAAGAGUCUAUGUGGACUGGACAACCUUAGAGAUCUAACCUGAGUGCAGUUGUCAUGUUGACUAUUAGCAACAUUGGCUUCUCAGUUCUCACUUCAUGACACGACCUGAUAACAUAGAAGUAAAACACUUUUUCUGUUUAGUGCAACUGCUUCUCGAGUAUAAUCUUUAUGAUGUAGUUAACUAACCUAUGAACGUGUGUUUUAUUGUUAGAUAUCGUACCCUAUUUUUGUGAAUCGAAAAAGUCUUGUGACAAAUAAUAUCAUUUUGUUGUUGUUCGGGUCACUCUUUAGAUAUUGGGUCAAGCUCUAUUGCUUUGCUCAAGGAUGUGGUGCUACAAGGGUCCGCUAAUUCAUCGAUGUUGCUACUAUUGUUGUCACAUUUUGUAUCCAUAGUUACUCAUGGUGAUCCAUUCUUAUGCUUUAGUAUUUAUAAUUGGCCUUCUUUUCUUUGGUUCGUAAUCCUGUAAAACUAUGUGGACCAUGAUUAUGUCUGAAGAUGUCGUCAUUGUAUUAUUCUUAAUUUCUUAUCGUAAGGCAUUUUUAUUUGAACAUUUCGUUGUAAUAUUGUUACUGAAAGACAUCUUCAGGAUUGUAUUAUUGUUACUGUAAGUCUGUAAGGCCUGCACAACAUUGUGCAUUACUUUGAGAGGUCA